rnacentral:lncRNA from 1 species
CCUGAAGUCAGUGGUUGUGAGGGCUGCCUGGUUUUCAGUUUUUCUGUAGUGGGCCUAGUGUUGGGCACCAAGACCAAGUCCCACACUUACUUCCCUUUUUAUUCCCCAGGUGUUUGGUAUCUCUCCCUGCACUGUGCUGUCUGAGGUUGGGGAUAAGAAAUGGAGAAUACCAAACUAUAUUUACUGUUUACAGUAGUAAAGGACAACAAAUAAUGUACAAAUUGGUGAAUAAACACAACAGAGCCAACAAACAUCCCACCCGAGCCCAUACAGCAAACAGGAAAUGAGAACAUUUCAGCAAGAUUUCAAGCAAGCAAGAGACGAUGGGUCAUCGUUCAGGUGACUAUAAAAAGGCGGAGAAUGGCCACCAAGCAGCAAUGGAGCCUCAGGGAAGGACAAUAGGCAGAACUAUGAAAAUGUUUAAUUGGUAUAGAUCCCAAAAUAUUUCACAGAACUGAAAUCACCAGACUAAUGCAUAAAUUCAAUACAUAUUUGGAAAGCAGCACGGCACAAACCCACGAGAAGAACAUGAAGUCAUCAUUCCAUGGGUUCAUUUGUAACCACACUUGGAAGUAGCUCUUAUACACGACAACGUAACUGCAAAUUCAGCAAUACUUAGUCUUACUUUUUUAUGUAUAGACCAUAAUCAUUCACCAGAAGCAAAUACUAGAAGAAAUCUGAGGCCACAACACCAUUACCAAAUGAGAAAUGUGGGAAUUUCUUCAAUAUUAAGAGGGAGAAAAAGGCCAAUUUUGGUUGUGCCAAUCCUUGCCUGUGUACCAAUGCCAGUUACAGAUUCAUCCCUGCAGAUAUAGUUUUGAGUUGCACUUGAAGUACAUCAAAGAGAGGAAAAUCAUCGUGGUGAAUGUCCUCGAGUUUCCGCAGACGCCUCUGUGGUCGGCAUGGUCACGUGCUCACCAUUCAACAGCAAUGCGAGGAUGGACGGCCCGGGCUGGGGACGGGCCCUCUAGAAACUGUGCCCUGCCAGGCUGCUCUCCGGCACACCUCCCGUCUGCUGCUGGAACACGUCGAUGGUGUCCUCGUCCUCCAUCUCCAGCUGUGCUGGAGUGUCAGUUUCAUUGAUUGGCUGCCCGUCGAACCUGAAUCUGAUCUGCCUCAUUGACAAGCCCUGCCUCUCGCAGUAGGCCUUCAUCAGCUUGCUCAGCGGCGUGUGCCUCUUGAUCUUGAACUGCACCACGGAGCCGUCCUGCCCGGCCACCUUCAGGUUGAUGUGAUCAUUCUCUGUCUUCACACCCUCCUUGGGCUUCUCCUCGGACAUGGCUGCGCGAGCGGCGCGGGCAGGCGGCGCGGGGGAAGCAGCGCGGAGCGGGCGAGUCACGCUCUCGGCCCCGCCGCUCUCCCCUAUUCCCUCUUUUUUUAAAAAAAAGGUCUUUUA